AGUAACGCCAUGGUAAGGCGUAAGUUAUCGGUUCAAAUCCGAUAAAGGGCU
rnacentral:tRNA from 1 species